rnacentral:rRNA from 1 species
CAGCCGCCACGGGAAAACGGAGGGUGCAAGCGUUAAUCGGAAUUACUGGGCGUAAAGCGUGCGUAGGCGGUUCGUUAAGUCUGUUGUGAAAGCCCCGGGCUCAACCUGGGAAUGGCAAUGGAUACUGGCGAGCUAGAGUGUGUCGGAGGAUGGUGGAAUUCCCGGUGUAGCGGUGAAAUGCGUAGAGAUCGGGAGGAACAUCAGUGGCGAAGGCGGCCAUCUGGGACAACACUGACGCUGAGGCACGAAAGCGUGGGGAGCAAACAGGAUUAGAUACCCCAGUAGUCCCUGUCUCUUAUAC